ensembl:lncRNA
CAAAAAGUAAAUAGUUGAAGCCAGAUUUGAGAGCAGGUUUGUUAGAUUCCAAAGUGAAAGUGAAAGUUGCUCAGUCGUGUCUGACUCUUUGUGACCUCAUGGGCUAUACAGUCCAUGGAAUUCUCUCAGCCAGAAUACUAGAGUGGGUAGCCUUUUCCUUCUCCAGGGGAUCUUCCCAACCCAGGGAUUGAACCCAGGUCUCCCGCAUUGCAGGAGCCCAUCAGGAGUAUGACAGCAAAGUUGGUGCAGUUCAGACUUUGACUUCUCUUUUUAUCACCAAGAUUGUUUGGCAGAACAUAGGAGGAAUUCCAGCCCACAGGGAGUUGCCCCAGAAAUUAGAUUCAAGGGACAUGUUCAAACCAAUCUGCAGCCUAUAAAUUCAUAUGAAUAUACUGAUCUUCCCAGAAACAAGGAGGUUCAUGUCAUCCCACCAGGGCUUCGACUUGCUGCACUGAAUAACCAGGAACUGACUUUCUGGUGAUGGCUGGAUAAAAGCACUGGGUGAUGGAUGGGGUCAGGGAUGUUUCACAACAGCCACUCAGGAGACUUGGGAACCAAACCAGCUGUUUACCGGAGAGGCUGUUCAUGGGCCAGUUUGCUCCUGUUCCCAGAUCCAGUGACCCUUCUCCUGGAUGUUGCAGAUUUUUAGAAGAAAAGCCAGUGGGCUCCCAGACUAAGUUAAAAAAGCCUCAGGGACUUUUCCAGUGAGUCACCUGUUCGCGUCAGGCGUCAAAUGACCAAAAUACUGAAGCUUCAGCUUCAGCACCAGUCCUUGCAGUGAUUAUUCAGAGUUGAUCUCCCUUAAGAUUGACUGGUUUGAUCUCCUUGCUGUCCAGAGGAUUCUCAGGAGCCUUCUCCAGCACCACAGUUUGAAGACACCAAUCCUUUAGCUUUCUGCUUUCUUUACAGUCCAGCUCUCUCAACCGUGUAUAUUCACUGGGAAGACCAUAGCCGUAACUAUCCCUAGUUCCCUACCAGGGAUCAUACUCAGGCCCCCUGCAUUGGGAAUGCAGAGUCUUAGCCAUUGGACCACCAGGGAAGUCCCAAAGUUCCUUUUUAAACGAUGCCUGUAGUGAAAUACUGUUGCCCCUCAGGGAAGACCCUGCCCCGUGCUGACCCCCGCCCCUUGUCUGGAGUGUCUAUCUAUCGCAUAUUAAAUGCAUGUGUUCAUCCUUCCCCCUCCCCGUCCCCAACACUUGUGUCUUGAAUUUAGUCAUUCUCAGGACAACUUAACCAAAGGUGUUUCACAUGACUGCACAUCCUAUUUUUUAUUUGUUUUACUCAGAAAUUGCCAAACCUCAGAGCAAAAUUAUGUAUGACAGAGGAAAGUCAUCAUUUAGUUGUAGUUUUGAAAAGAGGAGGCCCGAUCAUCUCUUGUUAGAGCCUUCCUCUUCCUUCCCAAAUCUCUUCAGUUCCUCCAUCUAACUUCCGGGGCUGGUUCCUCCCAGAAAACAUCCAGAUAUGAGUUAGGAACCAAGGUAGGCAACCCCUAACCACAGGAGAAGUGUGUGUGUCGCUGGGUCUGUUGCUUUUAUGAUUCCAGAUCCGUUUCUGAAGUGGUGCCCCAUCCCUUGGCGCCUUUAUAUGACGUAGCUGCUUGUGUAAUUGCUGUAAUGUGUAAGUAGCUAUUUUAUAUAAACAGAGAGAAUUGGUUGGUUGUGCUAAAAAAAAAAAAAUGGCCACAUAAAACAGAAUUCCUUUUUUCAAUGGAUGACAUCUGUCUUCAUAUAGCAUCAAAAAGUCUAAACCCUUAGCAUGAAUCAUUAAGCUUUCCCAGAAAAUAUUUUACAUUGGAAUUUUAAAAAGUAACUUCCUCAGCCUAGAUCUCCGAAGGUAGAAGAGAUAGAUGAUGGUGUGUACACUGCAUGGGUUAUCUUGCAAUUAUUAAAAUGAAGGCUUUGAUAGCCAUGUAAUAAAAUGGAGCUUUUUGAAUAUUACGUGAACAAAAAGAAGCAAAAC